UACAGAGGGGGCAAGCGUUAUUCGGAAUUAUUGGGCGUAAAGGGCGCGUAGGCGGCUUUGCAAGUGACGGGUGAAAUCCCUCGGCUUAACCGAGGAACUGCCUGUCAAACUGCAUGGCUUGAGACCGGGAGAGGUGAGUGGAAUUCCCAGUGUAGCGGUGAAAUGCGUAGAUAUUGGGAGGAACACCAGUGGCGAAGGCGGCUCACUGGACCGGUACUGACGCUGAUGCGCGAAAGCGUGGGGAGCAACAGG
rnacentral:rRNA from 1 species